GACGAACGCUGGCGGCGUGCCUAAUACAUGCAAGUAGAACGCACAGUUUAUACCGUAGCUUGCUACACCAUAAACUGUGAGUUGCGAACGGGUGAGUAACGCGUAGGUAACCUGCCUGGUAGCGGGGGAUAACUAUUGGAAACGAUAGCUAAUACCGCAUAAUAUUGAUUAUUGCAUGAUAAUUGAUUGAAAGAUGCUAUUGCAUCACUACCAGAUGGACCUGCGUUGUAUUAGCUAGUAGGUGAGGUAACGGCUCACCUAGGCGACGAUACAUAGCCGACCUGAGAGGGUGAUCGGCCACACUGGGACGGAGACACGGCCCAGACUCCUACGGGAGGCAGCAGUAGGGAAUCUUCGGCAAUGGACGAAAGUCUGACCGAGCAACGCCGAGUGAGUGAAGAAGGUUUUCGGAUCGUAAAGCUCUGUUGUAAGAGAAGAACGGGUGUGAGAGUGGAAAGUUCACACUGUGACGGUAUCUUACCAGAAAGGGACGGCUAACUACGUG
rnacentral:rRNA from 1 species